rnacentral:rRNA from 1 species
AUGCACUGGCGCUCGCCGCUGAUGUGCUCCUCAAUGAUUUCGUCACAGACCUCGCGGAGGUCGGCCAGGCAGCUCUUCAGCCGCCGGCGGAGUCCCGUCAGGGUGCUCGCGAGAGGCUCCAACUCCGGGAAGAAGUCGCCUAUGGCGAACCCGGCGUAUAGGUCCUGCGACUCGGCGAGCACCGCGGCGAGCUUGUCGUCCUUGCCGUGCGGAAACCGGCGGCCAAAGGCGAUACGGCAGAGCACAUCGUUGGCCAGGUUGAGGAGGCACUUGCUGAGGUUGACGGAGGUCUCCUCCGUCGAGGCGCUCUCCGUGAGGUGCGCGAGGAGGCGGCGGAGCUCCUCGUCCCGGAAGCUUCCGUAG